rnacentral:rRNA from 1 species
GGGUGAGUAAUGUAUCGGAACGUGCCCAGUUGUGGGGGAUAACUGCUCGAAAGAGCAGCUAAUACCGCAUACGACCUGAGGGUGAAAGCGGGGGAUCGCAAGACCUCGCGCAAUUGGAGCGGCCGAUAUCAGAUUAGGUAGUUGGUGGGGUAAAGGCUCACCAAGCCAACGAUCUGUAGCUGGUCUGAGAGGACGACCAGCCACACUGGGACUGAGACACGGCCCAGACUCCUACGGGAGGCAGCAGUGGGGAAUUUUGGACAAUGGGCGCAAGCCUGAUCCAGCCAUGCCGCGUGCGGGAAGAAGGCCUUCGGGUUGUAAACCGCUUUUGUCAGGGAAGAAAAGACUCCUGUUAAUACCGGGGGUUCAUGACGGUACCUGAAGAAUAAGCACCGGCUAACUACGUGCCAGCAGCCGCGGUAAUACG